UUGGAGGGCAAGUCUGGUGCCAGCAGCCGCGGUAAUUCCAGCUCCAAUAGCGUAUAUUAAAGUUGUUGCAGUUAAAAAGCUCGUAGUUGAAUUUCGGGAUUAGUACGCUGGUCGUGCCUUCGGUACGUACUGGUGUUACUGAUUCCUACCUUCUGACGAACCAUCAUGUCAUUAAUUUGGUGUGGCGGGGAAUCAGGACUGUUACUUUGAAAAAAUUAGAGUGUUUAAAGCAGGCUCGCGCUUGAAUACAUUAGCAUGGAAUAAUGAGAUAGGACGUUGAUCCUGUUUUGUUGGUUUCUAGGAUUGACGUAAUGAUUAAUAGGGAUAGUUGGGGGCAUUAGUAUUCAAUUGUCAGAGGUGAAAUUCUUGGAUUUAUUGAAGACUAACUACUGCGAAAGCAUUUGCCAAGGAUGUUUUCAUUAAUCAAGAACGAAAGUUAGGGGAUCGAAGACGAUCAGAUACCGUCGUAGUCUUAACCAUAAACUAUGCCGACUAGGGAUCGGAUGAUGUUAUUUUUAAUGACUCAUUCGGCGCCUUACGGGAAAC
rnacentral:rRNA from 1 species